rnacentral:lncRNA from 1 species
CCAGUAGAGUGGGGUGCUCAUUUUCGCCACAUCUUUCCAUGUUUUCUACAGUUUAUGUUCAGGUCUAAAUGUUUUUGAAGUAUACUGAUAUUUCUAUAUGAAGAUAACUUCAAAUGCAAAAUAUACUUAAGCUUGAAAACCGGUUUGUUUUAAGAAAAUCAUCUGAAAAGUUAGAUUAAAGGGUGUUUGAAAUUUCCGGAUGUUUUGUCAAUGGGGGACACAUAUUCGCCGUUUUUACAUAUCUAUUUCAAACCAAAUAACCGCAGCUUUUAACAAUUUUUAUCAAAUUAAUUGCAUUAUAGAUGAAUAGCAGACAUUUCAAAGGUAUAAAGAAUUCAAAAUUAGGGCAUUCAGUCAAAUAUUUACUUAGAAAUACUUCUUUGAAAUCGUGUUUUUUAAUCAGGAAAUUGUCCGAAAAUCGUUGUCCGUUUUUCGGUCAUUUUCGGUAGGAGCCGCAAUUUUGUCUCAGUUUAAAAAAAUAUUAUAUUUGUUAUAAAAAUAUAAUUUACGGGUACAUUUCUUUCAUUUCAGCCAUCCUUUGAAGUUUUUACACCUCAAAAUCCUUAAACGGCGAAAUUGUGUCCCCGGCGAAAAUGAGCACCCCACUCUAUGGUACGAUUU